CACCGGUGCACUGCAGAGAAGCAACACCUGCGGAGCUUGUUUCUGCGGGUGUUGCUUCUCUGCAGUGCACUGGUG
rnacentral:pre_miRNA from 1 species